rnacentral:snRNA from 1 species
AAAAUUUUUAAAAAGAGUGCUAUCUGUUCUUAUCAGUUCAAUAUCGGAUACAUCCUCAAUCUAAGGACAAUAUAAAAAAGGACUUUUGGAGCAGGGUGUUGGGAUAGGACUUGCUCUGUCCACUCCAUGCAUCGAACUGGUAUUGCAGUACCUCUAGGAAUCAUGCACAAAAA